UUCUUCCCUUCUUUUUUUUUCAACGUUUCUGUGAAUUUGCCCAUCUUAUCUUCUUUCAUGUUAAUUUAUUGCUGAAUAUUGAAAUCCUUUUAGGUUUUGUAAUUGCUUUGUUUGUUUUUAGAGUUUUUAUUAUAGGAUAAAUAUUUUUGCAAAAAUUUGGUUUUAAGAGAUUCAUGAUGAUUACAAACUUAAUCCCAUGCCAAGUUGACCAUGGUUUACUCAACCAGAUUGAAUGCACUUGUAUUGUUCUUUUCUUUUAAAUCAAAACAAAAUUCGACUCCUGCUUUCAAUUUCAAAUACUUUUGCUGCAUUUGGAUUGCGUUAGGAUGCAUGGAUUUGUAUUUAGAUGAAAUACCUUAUUUAAGAUUUUUAGAAAAAUAUAAAUUUAAAUUUUAAUAAAAUUUAAGAUGAAUAUGCGAUCAAAUAAAGUAAAGACCUGAAAUAAUAUUAUUAAUUAUGAUAUUUUAAAUUUAAAAUUAUUUUUCUUUUUAUUAGCUAUAAAAUAAAUUUAUAAAUUUCAAAUUUUAAAUUUUAAAUUUAAAUCCAUGGAUUCAGGAUUUCCAAACUAGGAUGCCUCUUUUUUUUUUUUUUUCCUGUAAGUUUCUAAGUUUCCAAGCAUGGUCGGAUCAAUCACAAAGUGAAGCUGGCUUUCUUUUUUUUUUUUUUUUUGUAUAAUUCAUGACACCUGUUUAGAUGGUUUUGAAAUACCACCGGCACUUCCAGUAAUAAGAAUUGUUUGAGGUACUGCAUCUUUUAAGUUCUUGAAAUGGAAUCUGGCCAUUAGUGAAAGAACUGUUUUAUGACUAUAAUGCAUUGGAAGCUAACAGGCGAUAUGGUUGGUUCGAGCUUCUCUAUUGAUGCAUGAACUCAUGAUAUCGGUGGAUUAAAGGAAGGAUGACAACUGAAAACCAAGAGACCAAGUAUGUGGUCUGAUUGGUCUAUUGAGAAACGUUGCUGGAUUUUUGGAGCAAAAAUUGGAUUAAAAUUUUGCUUUCAAGCACAAAAGAAGGAUUUUCACGCAGAUGGAGGUGUUUCAAAGGGAAGCAACAAAUCAUUGUGUGAUGAAUGAUAAAAAUGCUCUUAAAAUACAGUAGCUAUUGCUAAUGGACGAUAAUGGGUUUUAGAGUGGCAGUUCAUUAUUUAGUAACUUGGAGAUGAUGUAUUCUGGAAGCUACUAGUUAAUAAGUAGUACAACUAUAAUAAUGGAAACUUCAGGCAGUUUGGUCUUGAAGUUGCUUAGGCUUUUGUGGUGUAUGUUUUAAUUAUUUGGUAAGCUUUGAAAGUUAGGCUUUAUAUUAUUGACAGUGAUCUUAAGGAAGUUAUUUUAUAGGUAUGCAGACCUUGGGCAGGUCAUGAGGAUAUAGAGCUUUCUACUUAUUUAUCUACUUGUUUUUAGGCUGUAAAAAACUUCUAAUAUUUGGUCUGCAAUGCAAGACACUGAAUGGUUUGUUUUAUAACUAGCAGUUCUUGCUAGGUUUCGGAUAGUAAAGCUUGUGCUAAAAAUUCAAAUAAAUUCUUAAAUUUCAAAUUCCUCUA